GACAGAGGUGCCAAGCGUUAUCCGGAAUGAUUGGGCGUAAAGCGUCCGCAGGUGGCAGUUCAAGUCUGCUGUCAAAGACCGGGGCUUAACUUCGGAAAGGCAGUGGAAACUGAACAGCUAGAGUAUGGUAGGGGCAGAGGGAAUUCCUGGUGUAGCGGUGAAAUGCGUAGAGAUCAGGAAGAACAUCGGUGGCGAAGGCGCUCUGCUGGACCAUAACUGACACUCAGGGACGAAAGCUAGGGGAGCGAAUAGG
rnacentral:rRNA from 1 species